AUUGAACGCUGGCGGCAGGCCUAACACAUGCAAGUCGAGCGAGCGGCGGACGGGUGAGUAAUGUAUGGGGACUGCCCGAUAGAGGGGGAUAACUACUGGAAACGGUAGCUAAUACCGCAUACUAUCGGAUAACCCAUAUGGGAUUAGCUAGUAGGUGAGGUAAUGGCUCACCUAGGCGACGAUCCCUAGCUGGUCUGAGAGGAUGAUCAGCCACACUGGGACUGAGACACGGCCCAGACUCCUACGGAGGCAGCAGUGGGGAAUAUUGCACAAUGGGCGCAAGCCUGAUGCAGCCAUGCCGCGUGUAUGAUGAAGGCCUUAGGGUUGUAAAGUACUUUCGGUAGGGAAGCGUUAUCUACAGAAUAAGCACCGGCUAACUACGUGCCAGCAGCCGCGGUAAUAC
rnacentral:rRNA from 1 species